rnacentral:lncRNA from 1 species
GAAAAUGAGAAGGGAGAGAAAAAGAAUUUAACACCGUUUGUCAUUAUUUAACGGAAGGGACUAUUUUGACUCAAAAAUUUAAAAGUAAAGACCAAUUUCAAACACUUUUCUAAAGAGGGACUAAAUUGAGAUUUGUCAAUCAAACUAAGGACAAAGUUGUGUAUUAAACCUUUAAAAUACGACUUUUAAAAGAACAAGUUAGGACUAACUCAUGAAAUGAGUCAAGGUAACACCUCUACGUGCAUUCAAGUAAAAAUGACUAAUGAAUUUGAUACGUGGAUAUUAGUUAAAUUU